rnacentral:rRNA from 1 species
UACGGAGGGUGCAAGCGUUAUCCGGAUUCACUGGGUUUAAAGGGUGCGUAGGAGGUUUUGUAAGUCAGUGGUGAAAGCCCGGAGCUUAACUCCGGAACUGCCAUUGAUACUGCUUAACUUGAAUCAAGUAGAGGUGGAUGGAAUAAUACAUGUAGCGGUGAAAUGCUUAGAUAUGUAUUAGAACACCGAUUGCGAAGGCAGUUCACUAUGCUUGUAUUGACACUGAGGCACGAAAGCGUGGGGAUCAAACAGG